UACAGAGGGUGCAAGCGUUGUUCGGAAUUAUUGGGCGUAAGCGCGUGUAGGCGGCUUGUUAAGUCGGGUGUGAAAGCCCUCAGCUCAACUGAGGAAGUGCGCCCGAAACUGGCGAGCUUGAGUGUCGGAGAGGAUGGCGGAAUACCCCAAGUAGAGGUGAAAUUCGUAGAUAUGGGGUGGAACACCGGUGGCGAAGGCGGCCAUCUGGACGACAACUGACGCUGAGACGCGAAAGCGUGGGGAGCAAACAGG
rnacentral:rRNA from 1 species